CAUGUGAUUGCGGCUGUCCGGCUGCAUGGAUGUUAUGUAAUGGUGUGGCUCAACGACUCCACACCUGCCCAUUGCAGCUUGUGACUGGCCAGGAACCCAAGCACUGCCACAGCCGUAACGCACCCCGUGCAUCGCACUUGCGGGACUUCAAAGGAAUAGUAUAUCCGGAGUAGUAUGGACUCAGGUGCUCCUGCGUAGGAGUGCUUCAGAAGGCUGGCCGAAGAUGUUGCAAUGGCUGAAGAAUCGCUCAUCCAAUCACCCAAGCUGGGAAUGGCAGAGCAGAGCCGGGAAGGAGAGUUGGAUUUCGACAGGUAGAAAGUCAAUGUGCAUUGAAGAGUGAGACGAAACACUCCUGCCAAUAGCACUAAGCAGCUAGCACUAGUACUAGUAGUCUAAGCGCGCUCAGGCCUUCCUCCAAUCAUGGAAAAUUUUCGCGAUGUGGG
rnacentral:sRNA from 1 species